GUUGGUCUUGGAUCUCUAGUUUUAAAAUAAUUGGACUCAAAGAAACAAUAAGCGUAACGGGUCGUGCAUACAUUUUUUUUCGAGGGCAAUCCUAGUCAGAUCAAAAUAGUAAAGUAGUGUUCGGUUCAUGGAAUAAAUUGGAAUGUUGAUUUCAUUUCUUAUUUUGUUGGUUUCAAAAAAAAAUAUUUGGAAUUGAACAAAAAUAUAAACAGCCCCUAAGUGUCUGUAUGGAGUGUAAAUUUUAAUAAAAUCUAAAUAUUAUUACCCUAAAACAAUCUAAACAAGAAAGUGUUUGCAAGCAGGUCCAACCUGACUUGUAAUCAUAUCUAUAACAUUUACAUUUUUUUAAGAAAAAUGAACUAAGAUAGUGUUUCGUUUGCAACUUGCAAGUAGGUCUAACGUUACUUGAGCUAUCUGAACUCAUUUUGACCCAUUACCCAACCCGCUUACUUAAACCCAGAUUUUCUUUACUAUCUUUUACCUUUUUUUGUGUAAAAUACAAAUUAUUCCAUAUAUAAAUAAGCAAACUUUUUGUGUAUAACAACUUGUAACAUGUGCUUUGUUUUUAACUUUUACAAUUUUAACCCUACAUAA
rnacentral:lncRNA from 1 species